UGGUUGAUCCUGCCAGUAGUCAUAUGCUUGUCUCAAAGAUUAAGCCAUGCAUGUCUAAGUAUAAGCAAUCUAUACGGUGAAACUGCGAAUGGCUCAUUAAAUCAGUUAUCGUUUAUUUGAUAGUACCUUACUACUUGGAUAACCGUGGUAAUUCUAGAGCUAAUACAUGCUAAAAACCUCGACUUCGGAAGGGGUGUAUUUAUUAGAUAAAAAACCAAUGCCCUUCGGGGCUCCUUGGUGAUUCAUAAUAACUUAACGAAUCGCAUGGCCUUGUGCCGGCGAUGGUUCAUUCAAAUUUCUGCCCUAUCAACUUUCGAUGGUAGGAUAGUGGCCUACCAUGGUUUCAACGGGUAACGGGGAAUUAGGGUUCUAUUCCGGAGAGGGAGCCUGAGAAACGGCUACCACAUCCAAGGAAGGCAGCAGGCGCGCAAAUUACCCAAUCCCGACACGGGGAGGUAGUGACAAUAAAUACUGAUACAGGGCUCUUUUGGGUCUUGUAAUUGGAAUGAGUACAAUUUAAAUCCCUUAACGAGGAACAAUUGGAGGGCAAGUCUGGU
rnacentral:rRNA from 1 species